UUUUUUUUUUUUUUUUUGGUCUUUUUUUGAUAUUUCUUUGGGCUGCUCCCACGGCAUAUGGAGGUUUCCAGGCUAGGGAUUGAAUCGGAGCUGUAGCCCCUGGCUGUAGCCACAGCAAUGCCAGAUCUGAGCCGCGUCUGCAACCUACACCACAGCUCCCGGCAACGCCAGAUCGUUAACCCACUGAGCACGGGCAGGGACUGAACCCGCAACCUCAUGGUUCCUAGUCGGAUUCAUUAACCACUGCGCCACGACGGGAACUCCUCCACAGGAUUCUUGAAUCUGUGACUUAAUGUCUUUCAUCAGUGUUGGAAAAACUUCAGCCACGAUCUCUUCAACUAUUGCUUCUGUCCUGUUUCUCUUUCUUAUCCUGGGAUUCCAGUCAUAUGCAUGGUAGAAUUCUUCACUCUGAUCCUUGCAUUUGAAUUCUUCCCUUUUGUCUUUCAUGCUUCAUAUUAGUUAUUGAUUCUGAUCUAUCUUCUUACUCACCACUUCUCACCUCAGCUAUAAUAUCUUUCUACAAUACAUAAUUUCCACUUUUUUUCUUUUUCUUUUUUUGGCUUUUCAGGUCCGCACCUGUGGCAUAUGGAGGUGCGGCCCUAAAAAGCAAAAAAAAAAAAAAAAAAAACAACCAAGUGCCAUGACGGAAGACGAUAUAAGAAAAGGAAUGUAUGACUGGGUCGCUCUGCUGGGCAGCAGAGAUUGGCACAGCGGUGUAAAGUGACUAUACUUCCAUUAAAAAGUAAAAAUAAAAAUAUGACAAAGUGUCUAUGCCGGGUGGGGGAUGUUUCUUUCCAAAAGCCUUUGAAAAUUCACAAGAUGGUCAGAGCAAAAAUAACACAGGUACCAGACUGGGCUCAGGGAGAGAGGCGGGCAGUGCAGGUGUGCUCCUAAGGCACGUUACGGGCGAUGACCUGAGGCCUUUUCCGCUCUGUCAAGCAGCUUCCUUGAUGCAAAGCAAACUUCUCAAGUGUUUUUUCUUGUAUUAUACGCAGACCUCAAAAGAAAUGCAGCUCCACCACCAAAACAACAAUAAUAGGACUGACCUGGUAAAAGGAGUAUAUUUUUCACCUUCCGAAGGACAUAAACUCUGCCGCAAUAUCGCUAUGACAAGGGGCUAAUUAAAUAUUCCAGAAAUAAAGAAUCAACACACCUUUAACGACGAGCAAAUCAGACUCAGGGAUGUCUGUUCCCCACAGGACAGGUCACUGCAUGCAAGUGACAGAAAUACUUGGAAGAAGAAACAUUUUAAACAGAGUCCACUGGGACAUUGGGGGUUUUUCCUGUUUGGUUCUUAACCUUAAAACGAUCUUAACACCAAGCUGGAAAUUAAAAUUCUUUGCCUAAUCGUCUCUAACCACCUGGCCUUAGAAGUGAGCUAGCUUGUUCAAUGUAAUCCUUAAGGCAGAAGUAACAGACACAGCACAUGUUUAUCCUACAAACAGAAACUAUGCCUUUAUUUGAAAUGUCUAUGAAACACGUCUGGGGCUCUAUACUAAGGCACCAACACCAGAAAUAAGAACAAACGCUCCCAUUCCCAAAAAGCCACAUCCUCUAACUGCAGUGCCACAAAAUGAGUACAAACGGUUCACCCCAAACACGGGCCUCUUGGAAGUUUAGACACUCAUUCUAUUUGCUGUUAAGAAUCUAUCCAUUCACGCACAGACCCAGAGAGGAAACAGAAAUUGGGCAUGUUUAAAAUCUGCAUACAGUGAGCAAAGGAACAUUUUCAUAAACGUUUUCAUAAACGUUUUUAAAAGACAAUUACUUACAGCAUCCACAGAAGCUCAUAGGCAACAUGCAAGGGAAAAAGUACUGGUUUCCAGCAAGGUGGUGUAGCAAAAAUAGUGUCCCUUUCCCCACGCCAGGGUCACACUCUUUAAGCUCCCUUUUUAAUAUUUUGAUGUAACCAAGUCAGCUUCAUGAGCAGAUCCGGGAUUGCUCUGCUCGGUACUGAACACAAGAGCAUAGAGCAGCUCCUCGCUCCCUAUUUACAGAAUAAAUGAAUUUAAAAUAUUUAUCUGAAAGUAUUGGCUCAAUCACUACUAUCCCCUAACCCCAGUGAAAUAUUACCUAGACAUUUAAAACGAUAAGGCACAAACACUUUUCUUCACAUGCAAAGAUGUUUCAUGCCCUCAUGGUGAAUAAAGCAGAUGACAAAAUAGUCCAUAUAAUCACAUUUUUUUUUCUCUCUCAUUCCCUCUCUCACAGAUGUUUAAAAAAGCUGUGUUCCGGGCACAAAAACUACAGCAUGAUUACAGAAUAACCUGUAUACACCCACGAUGAGAAAAGAGAACACGUUUUUCCUAAGGUCAGUUAUGCUGCUGUUGCUUCGAAGAUGUAUAGAAUUUUGUCACGCUCACUGCUGGCCCUUUAUACAGAGUGACCACGCAAACUCUUCACCACCCACCUGCUUCUCCAGGGUGACACCUCUGGGUCAAUGACAGUUUCAGACCUGGCCUACAAGCUCAGAAAGCCAUCUGCUUGCUACUCAAACUGGGAUUAAAACGGCUAAGAGAUGGCCUGAGGCUCUUUUCCUUGGGAGUCUGUAACUUAAGUGUCUGCGAAGCAAAAACAUUUCUCACGUGCUUAUAUUAUCUAGUUUGAAAUUACAUGGAAACAGCCUGCCAUAAAGACGGGAGGUGCCUAGGAAAACCAACAGGAGAACGUUUUCAGAACUUAGAGAAUCCAUCCACAUUUAUCCUACUUUCAGAGAAAUGAAAAGCCGUCUCAUGUUGCAUCACAAAGUAAUAAUUAACCCUCAGCGUGCUAGUCUAUAGGGCAGUGCAAGUCAAGGCUUCAAUACUUCAGUCUGGAAAAAUGAGUAAGUUAAAUCUUCUGUUUACCUGUGAUGACAGCGUCCUGCUUCUGAGCUUGUCUUGCCACGAGGCAGGGCCUUUCACGGCAGUCUUGGCAGUAAGAAAGUAAAGGAGGAAAUAAUUACAAUAUGUCCCCUGGGUUGUCCCCAACGCUCCACCACCUUGGAAGAGGAAAGUCACCGUGACACUUCUUGUUCAAUGGCUAGAGUGUGGCAGGGUCGUUCCCAGCCCAACCUUGCCGCCACCACCCCCACCCCCCUCCCGCGCGCCCCCUGCACCCCUUCCGAAGCAGCCCUGGGAGAGGAGGAGGGGCUCCCUGGUUUGGGGAGGGGUGGCUCGGGUCGGGGCAGGCAUGCAGCCUUGGGUCCCGGCGAAAUCCAAGACAUUUUAUACAACUACGGACUUUUCUUAGAAAGAACCUUGGCAUUUGGGGCACCGGCGUCGGGCCUUUAAAACUUAAAAAAGGCGAGGAAAGCACGAGCAUACAGUUGUUCCUCGUUGGUC
rnacentral:lncRNA from 1 species